rnacentral:rRNA from 1 species
UCCAUAGGUUAAUGAGGCGAACCGGGGGAACUGAAACAUCUAAGUACCCCGAGGAAAAGAAAUCAACCGAGAUUCCCCCAGUAGCGGCGAGCGAACGGGGAGGAGCCCAGAGCCUGAAUCAGCAUGUGUGUUAGUGGAAGCGUCUGGAAAGGCGCGCGAUACAGGGUGACAGCCCCGUACACAAAAGCGCAUGUGCUGUGAGCUCGAUGAGUAGGGCGGGACACGUGGUAUCCUGUCUGAAUAUGGGGGGACCAUCCUCCAAGGCUAAAUACUCCUGACUGACCGAUAGUGAACCAGUACCGUGAGGGAAAGGCGAAAAGAACCCCGGCGAGGGGAGUGAAAAAGAACCUGAAACCGUGUACGUACAAGCAGUGGGAGCACCCUUCGGGGUGUGACUGCGUACCUUUUGUAUAAUGGGUCAGCGACUUAUAUUCUGUAGCAAGGUUAACCGAAUAGGGGAGCCGGAGGGAAACCGAGUCUUAAUUGGGCGUUAAGUUGCAGGGUAUAGACCCGAAACCCGGUGAUCUAGCCAUGGGCAGGUUGAAGGUUGGGUAACACUAACUGGAGGACCGAACCGACUAAUGUUGAAAAAUUAGCGGAUGACCUGUGGCUGGGGGUGAAAGGCCAAUCAAACCGGGAGAUAGCUGGUUCUCCCCGAAAGCUAUUUAGGUAGCGCCUCGUGAAUUCAUCUCCGGGGGUAGAGCACUGUUUCGGCUAGGGGGCCAUCCCGGCUUACCAACCCGAUGCAAACUGCGAAUACCGGAGAAUGUUAUCACGGGAGACACACGGCGGGUGCUAACGUCCGUCGUGAAGAGGGAAACAACCCAGACCGCCAGCUAAGGUCCCAAAGUCAUGGUUAAGUGGGAAACGAUGUGGGAAGGCCCAGACAGCCAGGAUGUUGGCUUAGAAGCAGCCAUCAUUUAAAGAAAGCGUAAUAGCUCACUGGUCGAGUCGGCCUGCGCGGAAGAUGUAACGGGGCUAAACCAUGCACCGAAGCUGCGGCAGCGAACGUAUCACCCAAGACAACUUUACGGAGUUGACGAUUGACGGAGCGAAGCGACGUCAAAGCGUUCAUUAAAGUCGAGUUGGCUUAGGGAUACGUUCGUUGGGUAGGGGAGCGUUCUGUAAGCCUGUGAAGGUGUGUCGUGAGGCAUGCUGGAGGUAUCAGAAGUGCGAAUGCUGACAUAAGUAACGAUAAAGCGGGUGAAAAGCCCGCUCGCCGGAAGACCAAGGGUUCCUGUCCAACGUUAAUCGGGGCAGGGUGAGUCGACCCCUAAGGCGAGGCCGAAAGGCGUAGUCGAUGGGAAACGGGUUAAUAUUCCCGUACUUGGUGUUACUGCGAAGGGGGGACGGAGAAGGCUAUGUUGGCCGGGCGACGGUUGUCCCGGUUUAAGCGUGUAGGUGUGUGUUCCAGGUAAAUCCGGUUCACUUUAACACUGAGGCGUGACGACGAGGCACUACGGUGCUGAAGCAACAAAUGCCCUGCUUCCAGGAAAAGCCUCUAAGCAUCAGGUAACAUCAAAUCGUACCCCAAACCGACACAGGUGGUCAGGUAGAGAAUACCAAGGCGCUUGAGAGAACUCGGGUGAAGGAACUAGGCAAAAUGGUGCCGUAACUUCGGGAGAAGGCACGCUGACACGUAGGUGAAGUGAUUUACUCAUGGAGCUGAAGUCAGUCGAAGAUACCAGCUGGCUGCAACUGUUUAUU